UUUUUUUUUUUUUUUACAUAACAACCCUGACAGCCAGAAAGAUCAGACUCUCUUCAUUUCUUUCAACAAUUCUUUCUGUGUCAACGCCUUAUCGAUCGAUCGAAAGGGACUUCACAAACCAUCUGAGAUGUGGCCAUUAUUUGUUCUAUUGAGCAAGUUUUUGGGAACAGAAGAAGAUAACACCGAAGAAUCAGAAAGGGAGCAUUUAAGUUUGGUCUUAAAACAAUCAUUGGGUCGAGAUGAAUUCCACGGCACAGUUUCCGGCUCAUACUUUGUUGAUGUUCCGCAUAUAAACCAAUUACAUUCGUGGGACUGCGGUCUUGCUUGUGUUCUGAUGGUUUUGAGGUUUCUUGGAAUCAAGGAUGGAAACAUGCAAGAGCUAGAAGAGUUCUGCUGCACUACCAGUAUUUGGACAGUUGAUCUGGCGUAUUUAUUGAAGAAAUUUUCUGUCAGUUUUUCCUACUUCACAGUAACAUUAGGUGCAAAUCCAAGUUUUUCUGUGGAGACAUUUUACAAGGAACAACUGCCCAAUGAUCUUGUCCGAGUGGAUAUGCUAUUUCAAAAAGCACGUGAUGCUGGUAUAAGUAUAGAGUGCAGAUCAAUCAGCAGUGAAGAGAUCUCUUUACUGAUCUUGUCUGGAAAUUUUCUUGCAAUUACUUUAGUUGAUCAGUACAAAUUAAGUCAUUCUUGGCUGGAUGUUUGUGCUUCAGAUUUAUGCAUCGACACCCCAGACUAUACUGGUCAUUAUAUUGUCAUCUGUGGCUAUGACAGUGACGCAGAUGAGUUUGAGAUUCGUGAUCCUGCCAGUUCAAGAGUGGAGAGCACAACUGGUAACAUAGAGACAUGAACAAGACAGAGACAUCAAAACUCAAUCGGCAACAGAAAAGGGGUUUUCUCCAACAAGGGGGAGAUAAUUCCUAAAACUCAGUGAAAACAAGUCGUGAAACAUUUAAAGUUUUGUGUUCUUUUUCUCCUAAAGGUAUGAUUUUCAUGGAGGUUGUCGACUUUGUGAUAAGGUGUCGAAAGAAGGUUCAUUUGGCAUUUUGUAGGACAUCCUAAGCAAUACAGAACCGAUCAGUGCAAAGUCCAAAGAUCACCUAACAGACAAGAGAUAGUGAUAUACAAUACGCUAACUUGGAUGGGGAAGGGUCCACCAGAGAAAUAUCUUUUUUUCAAAGAGAUGAUCUUCUGAAGUGGUUCCAAAUACUUGCAAUUGUCUCCUAUAUUCCAGCCAUGAUAUCCAGCAACGAAAUAUGGAAGGGUCACCUCAAAAUGUUUAGAAAAGGCCCGCAAAUCCUUCGGAACUGAUGAGGAUCUUCUACUG